UACGUAGGGUGCGAGCGUUGCCCGGAUUUAUUGGGCGUAAAGAGCUCGUAGGCGGCUUGUUGCGUCGACUGUGAAAACCCGCGGCUUAACUGCGGGCUUGCAGUUGAUACGGGCAGGCUAGAGUUCGGUAGGGGAGACUGGAAUUCCUGGUGUAGCGGUGAAAUGCGCAGAUAUCAGGAGGAACACCGGUGGCGAAGGCGGGUCUCUGGGCCGAUACUGACGCUGAGGAGCGAAAGCGUGGGGAGCGAACAGG
rnacentral:rRNA from 1 species